rnacentral:rRNA from 1 species
CCCUUAGAUGUUCUGGGCCGCACGCGCGCUACACUGACGAAGUCAGCGAGCAUCUCCUACGCCGAAAGGUUCGGGGAAUCUUGUGAAACUUUGUCGUGCUGGGGAUUGAUUUUUGAAAUUCUUGAUCAUCAACGAGGAAUUCCUAGUAAGCGCAAGUCAGCAGCUUGCGUUGAUUACGUCCCUGCCCUUUGUACACACCGCCCGUCGCUACUACCGAUUGAAUGGUUUAGUGAGAUUUUUGGACUGGAACUCUCUUGUUCAGCAAUGAACGAGAGGGACUCUGGGAAGCUAUUCUAACUGUAUCAUUUAGAGGAAGUAAAAGUCGUAACA